rnacentral:misc_RNA from 1 species
UCUUUCUGCAAAGACUACCCAGCGAAGCCAUGACGUCAUUUUUAUAUUAUUGGCUUCCAUGAUUAAGAUUAUACGUUCACGGCUCUUUCCUUAUAGCGACGUCCAACACUGAACGCAAUUAGCUAGUGCGCUGCUACACAUAAUACCACAAACUCAUUCUUAUCUUCUGCACUUCGGCAGCAAAACAAUACAGUGUCUUUUGUAAAAUGGAGAAAGCACAGCUGG